GUGGUGGGGCGACUAAAUGUGUCCGGGCUGGUGGGGCGUCGACUAAAUGUGUCCGGGCUGGUGGGGCGUCGACUAAAUGUGUCCGGGCUGGUGGGGCGUCGACUAAAUGGGUCGAGGCCGGUGGGGCGUCGACUAAAUGUGUCCAAGAUCAUCAUAAAAUAUGAAUGAAAUGCAUCAGUGAGUCUUAUUUUUCUUUAACUUUCUGAAGAGGAAACGUCAGUGUCUGUGUGUCCGCGACUGUCCACCACUUUGUUAAGCCGUUAGCGAUGAUGCUAAUAUAACGACGACAGUCUUCUGGUAGAUGGAAAGGUUUUCCCCAAAAACAUUCUCAGUUAAACACAGGCUUCUCUGUGGUUAAUAUUUACUUGGCAGAAUGGUAUCGUGAUUAUUUGCAUAAAUCCACUGGCCAUUUGUUUAGCAAACUCUGCAAUCACAUGAGUGCUACAGAAACAUCACUCACCAGACAGUGACGCUCACUGGUGCACAGAUGAAUUAAAGGGUAACUACACCCAAAAUGUCAUUUCUGGUCUCCUGUUUAAACACUGUUGUGCACUUAGAACAUCCAAUGUUUUUAUUUGAUAUAAAUAUAAAUAUAUAAAUGAAAUUGGGCAGGGGGAACAUUUUCAAUUGAUUUUAUAGGGCCCUAGCAAUGUCUGUUUGCGUGUAAAUUUGCGUGUCAAUUUGAUUACUUUUCUUCCCUUAAUACUGGGCUUCACAAUGUGCUGAUCCUGUAAACGAAUAAGAAAACCAUAAAAUAUUUUUACCAAAGGUACAGUACUUGAAAAGAUGCUGAUGAUAUCAAUCAAUACAGGUACAGUACUUAUCUGAUAUUUCAAUGAGGACUAAAGAAUCAUCACUAUUGUCCACAAUUCAAUGGCAGCCAUUUUGUUAAUGUGGAUAUUUUAGGUUUCUAAUGGUACACCUAUUUGAAGUGGAUCUCAAGAUUUUACUGUCGGUUGUCUUGUUUUUAGGCUGUAGUUUGAAAUAGACAGCCAGACAAUUUUGACUUGGUACCAAAUAUCUUGUAGGAAUUGAAGGUCGAUGGGUGUUUCACUGAAAUGAUGUAGUCAAGAAAAGAAUUGUGCUGUUUGUCCUAUUUUUUUAAAUGGGUUGAUGGUCACUCAAAUUUAAUGUUGCUGUUGUAAAUCCCAGUAGUGAUUUGAAUGUAUACCCCAACAUCUGAUUGUGUUACUGGUAACUGAUAUAUAUUAUUUUGUAUUGGAUUGGUUAGUUUGCUGAGUAGUGACUCCAUGCUUGCAUUAAAUGGGAUAACUCCUUUGAAUGUACAUGUUCGAUUUAAGUAACUUCUCUGCAUUCCCCCCCCAUUUUUAAAUGGAAAUAGCAUUUUGUUAAAUUAUUCAUAUAAACACAAGACUUUUAAAUAAUACAACUGACAAAAUCAAUCUAAAUUUUAAAGUUUUGGUCAUUACUUUUAAAUGACAAGGAAACCAAGUGAAGAGAGGUUACUUUAUUAUCCUGUACUCCUAUUUGUCUCACUUCAUGGUGAAGGAAAUGAUUUGAUCUAUGCUUACUACCUGUCAAUCUAUGUUCACAGAUCUCAACAUUUGUUUCAUUUAGCGUUGGGAUCAUAUGUGCCCACUUACAGGGAAGAAAUGACUAGCUAUUUUUCCAAUUUGUCUAUAGGUGUCAGUGAUGUUUUACAGGCAUGGAGAAAGCAGCCCUGAUUUCCUGCUAACAUAUUUCUGCGUCUGUUUUAACUGUGUCUCUCUCUCUCUCGCUGGUGUGUUCAUCCUUCACAACUACACAUCAUGUGGUUCCUAAAACACUCAUUGGUGUCCACACCAUCUCAAGAAGGUUCAUUUUGACGACUGUUUCAACCACCUUAAACUCGUUCAAUGUCUCCUGCAAAAAUAGGCUCUGCAGGAAGUUAGUACCAAAAACAGCAACUGGUCACAUUCUUUCAUCCAUGAGUUAUAAUUAUAAUUGUUAGUGUUUUGAGAACAUGUCUUGGUGAUGCUGUGGACCCUUUGAGAUGCUCAAAGGAUCUGAAAUGAUUGUGCGUAGGGUGAUGGGUCAUCUGUUCGAUGAAAUGUUGGUCGUAUUAACUUUUUAAAAAAUGUGAUAUUGCCAACUAUGCACCAUGUAAAUUCACUAAUUGAGCAAAACCUGGCUUCAAUUUGAUUUAAAAAUGAUAUUGAUAAACAAUGAAACUAAUAAUUACUACUAGGCUAUUAACUAUAGUUUCUAUUUUAUUUUUGUUGUGUAAAUUGUCAUUGACAACCAAAACAUACAGAAUAUUCCUCUUACCUGGUGUAUCAGUUUGAAACUGUCUGGGGUUGAUCCAUGAACUGAAAUAUUAAUGAAUGGUUAUGUGGUUUGCAAUUCCAAUGACUUGUCAGUGUAAUGUUGAUCCUGUGCAUGCCAGGCUCUGGCUGUGAGAGUUGUUUCAGACUACUCAUAUAUGUGUGUAGGGAUACGAGUGUGUUUUUCUAUAUUUAUCCUGGUGUAAUAAUGCCAUUCCUCUAUGGAGAUCUGACCAUGUUAGUCCUCUGCUUCUCCCAGUGCUCCGGGCACAGUUUUACCCCCCCCCCCAAAUGUUAUCUAAUUGGAUUUCACCUAUCGGAUAGGUUUAAAUGCAUAGCUGUAGAAUGACUAGAACGAGGGUCUGCAUUCAAGUCAAUGAAUCGUCUGUUCUAUUUAUUAUUUCUAUGCGUUUUAAAUCCUAUCCUAUAGGUAAAAUCUGCGUUAAUGUUUGGGGAGAACUAUACCCUCGUCACCUCUCAGACUAGGGGACCGAUCCCCCAAACUGGCCGCUAACACCUUUUUGGUUUUAUGGACUUGUUGAAAAUCUGAGAGGAUUUGAUAGGUGGAAUUCUCACAUGUACUUCCACCUAUCAGAGGACAAGGUAGACUUAAUACCAUAUUGUGUCCAUCUGUCAGAUCCUCUAAAGAUAUUGAGAAGUACGUACGGUCUAGGGGUUGGGAUUGAGCGUUCUGUAGAUGCCAUCUUCUGCCCAUGCACUUUCAGAUUAGAUUAUAAGAUGUUCUGUGAGCACCCUUAAACAGGUUUAUCCAAUCCACACAAAUUGAUUGUAAACCUUCUCUGAAAUGAGUUGAGUACUUAGUGCAUGACACAUUUGAAUACAUUCUAAAUUCAGAUCUCAACAGUAUAGCAGGGUCAGUCAUUGUGGGCACUACAUUGUUCUUACUCACUGUAAUGUGGAAUCACUCUCUUGACAAGUUGACUACCAUUAGAAAGAACAGUACCUGCAUGUAUUUGUUUCGUGUCCUCUGUGUGUGUGUGUGCUGUACAAUUAGAGGGGAUAUGACACAAACAACAAACUGUAUAUUGUUGGGCUGCCCCAAACCAAACUCCACCCUUCGUUUUCACACAUUUCAGCCUACGGAAGAGGACAGGGACGAGGACGCCUCUUCACAACCAGCAGGCCCUACAUCAGGAUCGCCUUGUCAACUAGUCCCCCCCCCCUCUCUGUCUGUGUCUCCAUGGUUACCAGGGGACUGACUACCUGGGAAUCGCUCACAGCUGUGUAAGGCUAUAAGUAGUGUUCUUUAAAAUCAUUCUCAUGGUAUAAAAAAAAACUACUCAACAGCUAUUUUUAUUUUACUGAAAUUUUAUUUGAUGUGAACGAAAAAAUGAUUACCUACCUGUGUUGACAGGCUUCUUUCAAGCUUUGCGAAAAUAACAAAUGACUACAUUUGCCUGCUCUAUUCCAAAACGGACAACUUUUGACUGCUAUAAUGUGUACAUUUUGUCAGGUUAAAGCUGAUUUUUACAGGGAGGUUUUUUGUUUUUUCGUCUUCAUUUCCUCUCGUGCCCCCCCUACUUUUCUCGUUAGGAUAAUGUUUGUAAAUGUCUCUGCUUUGAAUAUUAAAAUAGAUUCUGUGUUGUAAUAAACUUGUUUACUGGGGUUUUGACACUUAAUAAUAAUUGACAUGUGUACAUUUUUGCCUUGCAUACAUUUUUCAUGUUGAAUUUUACGAAAUAGAAAUAGUUAUUUUAAAUUUACUCUCACUUAAGUUGCAAAGUUGUGCUGUUAUUGACCAAAUGAAGCACAGUUGACCAAAAAAUUGUAUUUGUCCCGAUGCCCAGAAUUAGUGAAAUCUGACUGAAUUUAGCGUAACUACUUAUGCAUUGAAUGAUCAUGUGACAGAUAUUUUAAUCUUUGACUUAUCAGUUUGUUCUAAAAGUUCUACGUAAAAUGUAGCUACUUGUUGACAAACGUUUGUUUUUAGACUCCGUAUAGUUCUGUAUGCCUUUUGAGUUCCAAAAGUGAAAAUCCAUGUCUUUGCUAAGUGAUUUUAGAGGUAUUCAGGACUUGAUUAUACUUGGGAAAAACUUUAUUUUUUUAUUUUAUUUUUCUUGAUUUUCAUUUUUUUUUUUUUUUUUAAAUGUUACCAGGAAGUACAUUCCAAGGGUUCAUUACUCUAAUAUUAUUGAAACAAGUAGAACAAAAUUAUUGACUUAUGGAAUUAUUUUAGUGAUAGAUAAACCUUCACAGAUCUGGACAAUACUACUACUGUGAACCGAAUUGGUCUCUUAUCUGCAAACUUGUGCUCUGAUUGGCUGGCUGAUGUACUGCACUGAUUUCUUAAUGAGUUGCUUAUCCCCUGGUUUAGGCCAGUGAGGGUUGUAGCCUGGUCCCAGAUCUGUAUAUACUUUGGCAGAGUCUUGACUUGUUGUCUUGUCUACAUUGAAUAGCAAUAACAAUGCUAGACUAGUUGGCUAAAACGCAUACAGACCUGAGUGAAAUACUACAAAGCAGGACCAAUGUGUUAGCCAGCUAAUUUGCUUAAAUAUUCUGAAAUAAUUUAGAAUUUUUGGGGGGGAAAAGAAGCUUGACUCAAUAAGCAAAAACACAUAUCUAAGUUUGGCUUUCUUAAUGAGCCAGAAAAUCAAAUGUUUAUCAAAGUUAGCUGGCUAAUGCAUUGAUCCUGUUUUGUAGGAUCCCCUUCUGGGACCAGGCCAUGGGGCUGGGUGUAGUAAAUGGUUGAUUACAGUAGUAAUGAGGGUCUGGGACAAGGCUGAGAGGCUGGGUUAAAUGAAUGGGGAUUACAGUAGUGAGGGUCUGGGACAAGGCUGAGGGGCUGGGUGUUGUAAAUGGAUGGGGAUUACAGUAGUGGGUGCUGGGACAAGACUGAGGGGCUGGGUGUUGUAAAUGGAUGGGGAAUUACAGUAGUGGGGGUCUGGGACAAGGCUGAGGGGCUGGGUGUUGUAAAUGGAUGGGGAAUUACAGUAACGAGUAUUCAAGUGAGGUGUCCAUUUUGUAAAGCAUGAGAGCACAAUGCUUCCCUGGCUUCUCAUGAUCUGUCCACUGACUGGUCUGCCAGAUUAAAAUAACUGAUAUUGAUGCCUGUUUUAAGGCGGUAAAACCUACCUCUCUACUCCCAUGUAUUUUCUAAAUGGCCCUGAUAGACAUUAGUGGUGCUCUCCUGCUUACAUUGUGUUGACACUCUAAAGAUAGAUAUUUAGGUGGUUAUUGUGGCUAGAAUCAUUCACUGAAACAAAUGCUUCAGUCAACUAAACAUAUUUUUAUUUCAAUUUUAUUGGUUAGACAUUACAUCCAACUAUUGGCACAUAAAUAUCUCCCAAGUUUUUAUCAAUAUUGCCCACUAGCUACAAAGAGCAUUUUGAUUUGAGGACUUAACUAUGUGUUUGAAAUGGAAUGUUAUUGAAUGGAACCUUUAGUAAAGUUCUCCUUCAGGUAAAGUUCGCAUGACAGACACUUCGUUUUUUUUUAUACGUGGAACUUUUGUAUUGCAUUUUAUUGUAUAAAUGCACUGAGAUAUUGAAUAUGGUGUAGAGCAUUAUGAA
ensembl:lncRNA